GAUGAACGCUAGCGGCAGGCCUAAUACAUGCAAGUCGGACGGGAUUCAGUGAGUAGCUUGCUACGAACUGAUGAGAGUGGCGCACGGGUGCGUAACGCGUGAGCAACCUACCCAUAUCAGGGGGAUAGCCUCUCGAAAGAGAGAUUAACACCGCAUAACAUCAUUUACCGGCAUCGGUUUUUGAUCAAAUAUUUAUAGGAUAUGGAUGGGCUCGCGUGACAUUAGCUAGUUGGAGAGGUAACGGCUCACCAAGGCUACGAUGUCUAGGGGCUCUGAGAGGAGAAUCCCCCACACUGGUACUGAGACACGGACCAGACUCCUACGGGAGGCAGCAGUAAGGAAUAUUGGUCAAUGGAGGCAACUCUGAACCAGCCAUGCCGCGUGCAGGAUGACUGCCCUAUGGGUUGUAAACUGCUUUUGUCAGGGAAUAAACCUUUCUACGUGUAGGAAGCUGAAUGUACCUGAAGAAUAAGGAUCGGCUAACUCCGUGCCAGCAGCCGCCGCAGUAAGAC
rnacentral:rRNA from 1 species